AUUGAACGCUGGCGGCAGGCCUAACACAUGCAAGUCGAACGAGUGGCGGACGGGUGAGUAAUGUCUGGGAAACUUCCCGAUGGAGGGGGAUACCUACUGGAAACGGUAGCUAAUACCGCAUACCCUCGGAUGUGCCCAGAUGGGAUUAGCUAGUGGGGGGGGUAACUGCUCACCUAGGCGCCGAUCCCUAGCUGGUCUGAGCGGAUGACCAGCCACACGGGAACUGAGAAACGGUCCAGACUCAUACGGGAGGGAGCAGUGGGGAAUAUGGCAAAAGGGGAGCAAGCCUGAUGCAGCCAUGCCGCGUGUAUGAAGAAGGCAUUCGGGGUGUAAAGUACGUUCAGCGAGGAGGCGUUACUCGCAGAAGAAGCAACGGCUAACUCCGUGCCAGCAGCCGCGGUAAUAC
rnacentral:rRNA from 1 species